GGCCCCUGACCGGGGUUGCGGACAGUGUCUGGUGGGUAGUUUGACUGGGGCGGUCUCCUCCCAAAGAGUAACGGAGGAGCACGAAGGUUAGCUAAUCCUGGUCGGACAUCAGGAGGUUAGUGCAAUGGCAUAAGCUAGCUUGACUGCGAGCGUGACGGCGCGAGCAGGUGCGAAAGCAGGUCAUAGUGAUCCGGUGGUUCUGAAUGGAAGGGCCAUCGCUCAACGGAUAAAAGGUACUCCGGGGAUAACAGGCUGAUACCGCCCAAGAGUUCAUAUCGACGGCGGUGUUUGGCACCUCGAUGUCGGCUCAUCACAUCCUGGGGCUGAAGUAGGUCCCAAGGGUAUGGCUGUUCGCCAUUUAAAGUGGUACGCGAGCUGGGUUUAGAACGUCGUGAGACAGUUCGGUCCCUAUCUGCCGUGGGCGCUGGAGAAUUGAGGGGGGCUGCUCCUAGUACGAGAGGACCGGAGUGGACGCAUCACUGGUGUUCGGGUUGUCAUGCCAAUGGCAUUGCCCGGUAGCUAAAUGCGGAAGAGAUAAGUGCUGAAAGCAUCUAAGCACGAAACUUGCCCCGAGAUGAGUUCUCCCUGAGACUUUAAGUCUCCUGAAGGAACGUUGAAGACGACGACGUUGAUAGGCCGGGUGUGUAAGCGCAGCGAUGCGUUGAGCUAACCGGUACUAAUGAACCGUGAGGCUUAACCUU
rnacentral:rRNA from 1 species